rnacentral:rRNA from 1 species
UACGUAGGGGGCUAGCGUUGUUCGGAAUCACUGGGCGUAAAGUGUGCGCAGGCGGCCGAGCAAGUCGAGUGUGAAAGCCCCGGGCUCAACCCGGGAACUGCGUCCGAUACUGGCAGGCUUGAAUCCGGGAGAGGGAUGCGGAAUUCCAGGUGUAGCGGUGAAAUGCGUAGAUAUCUGGAGGAACACCGGUGGCGAAGGCGGCAUCCUGGACCGGCAUUGACGCUGAGGCGCGAAAGCCAGGGGAGCAAACGGG